UAGGGAAUCUUCCACGAAUGGGACGCAAGCCUGAUGGAGCAACACCGCGUGAGUGGAAGAAGGGUUUCGGACUCGUAAAGCUCUGUUGUUAAAGAAGAACACGUAUGAGAGUAACUGUUCAUACGUUGACGGUAUUUAACCAGAAAGUCACGGCUAACUACGUGCCAG
rnacentral:rRNA from 1 species